GUAGGAGGCAAGCGUUGUCCGGGAAUUAUUGGGGCGUAAAGCGCGCGCAGGCGGUUCUUUAAGUCUGAUGUGAAAGCCCACGGGCUCAACCGUGGAGGGUCAUUGGAAACUGGAGAACUUGAGUACAGAAGAGGAAAGCGGAAUUCCACGUGUAGCGGUGAAAUGCGUAGAGAUGUGGAGGAACACCAGUGGCGAAGGCGGCUUUCUGGUCUGUAACUGACGCUGAGGCGCGAAAGCGUGGGGAGCAAACAGGAUUAGAUACCCUGGUAGUCCACGCCGUAAACGAUGAGUGCUAAGUGUUAGGGGGUUUCCGCCCCUUAGUGCUGCAGCUAACGCAUUAAGCACUCCGCCUGGGGAGUACGGCCGCAAAGGCUGA
rnacentral:rRNA from 1 species